GAUGAAGAACGUAGCGAAAUGCGAUAAGUAAUGUGAAUUGCAGAAUUCAGUGAAUCAUCGAAUCUUUGAACGCACAUUGCGCCCCCUGGUAUUCCGGGGGGCAUGCCUGUCCGAGCGUCAUUUCACCACUCAAGCCUCGCUUGGUAUUGGGCAACGCGGUCCGCCGCGUGCCUCAAAUCGACCGGCUGGGUCUUCUGUCCCCUAAGCGUUGUGGAAACUUUCGCUAAAGGGUGUUCGGGAGGCUACGCCGUAAAACAACCCCAUUUCUAAGGUUGACCUCGGAUCAGGUAGGGAUACCCGCUGAACUUAAGCAUAUCAAUAAGCGGAGGA
rnacentral:misc_RNA from 1 species